rnacentral:tRNA from 1 species
UCUAAUGUGGCAGAGUUGUUAAGUGCGGUGGGGUUAAGUUCCACAUAUGAAUGUAGAUUCUUUUAGAAAUG